GAUGCACCACGCUGUUGUCUUGGCUAGUAAUACCAAUGGUAGCGCUACCGAUACAGCGCAUAAGUUGAUUGAGGAUGAUGACAAAAAUCACACUCUUCCACAUCCCUUGGGGAAUAAGAAGCCUAGUCACAUGCACAGUGUGGUUGCUACAGCAAUGAAGGGUCAAAUAAAACAGCCUCAGCAGAAUCCUAUCAAUGGUUUAAAUCAGACCAAGGUUAAUGGAAAUAACAGUCAGAAGCAAAAUCAAGCGCACCACCACAGUCAGCAUAGUCUUUCUUCAUCUGGGCUGAAUAAUAAAGGGAGAGAGCUAGAGGACCCUGCUACUAAGGCUUAUAUGAAGGCAAUGGCU
rnacentral:misc_RNA from 1 species